UACGUAGGUGGCAAGUGUUGUCCGGAUUUACUGGGCGUAAAGGGCUCGUAGGCGGCCAACUAAGUCGGAUGUGAAAUCCCCAGGCUCAACUUGGGAACUGCAUCCGAUACUGGAUGGCUUGAAUUCGGGAGAGGGAUGCAGAAUUCCAGGUGUAGCGGUGAAAUGCGUAGAUAUCUGGAGGAAUACCGGUGGCGAAGGCGGCAUCCUGGACCGACAUUGACGCUGAGGAGCGAAAGCUAGGGGAGCAAACGGG
rnacentral:rRNA from 1 species